GGCUAUAUUUUGAGGGUUGAUUUUAAGGGGAAAAUAGCACUUCCCCUUGCUCCCUGCAGUAAUGAGACACCCUAGCCCUACACGUGCACCCGCAAAAACGAGGGUUAGGGCAAAAAUCUAGGGGUAGGGGAGACUGCAAACAUUACCUA